rnacentral:lncRNA from 1 species
AAAGCUGUCAUCUGAUGAAUCAUGUUCUGACGUGACAUGUGUUGUACUGAGAGCCAAGGUGAAUUUGUCCUCAUUUUAUGUGCCUUCCUAAGCCUGGGACAGCUCAUGGAGAGCAGUGCACCACCCGUCUCAAUGAUCUUCAUGCUAUAACAAAGCAUAACCCAAAUGAAGUUGGAGUUUGAGCUGGUUGGAGACCCCAGAGACCUCUG